GCGAGUGUAGUUUAAUGGUAGAACUUCAGCCUUCCAAGCUGAUUGUGAGGGUUCGAUUCCCUUCACUCGCUCCA
rnacentral:tRNA from 1 species